AGAGUUUGAUCCUGGCUCAGGAUGAACGCUGGCGGCGUGCCUAACACAUGCAAGUCGAACGUGAGCCUGAUUUCGGUUAGGUGAAAGUGGCGAACGGGUGAGUAACACGUUGGUGACCUGCCCCGAGGUGGGGGAUAACUCCUCGAAAGAGGAGCUAAUACCCCGGAUGUCUGGAUUGUUAGAGGGUUCAGACUAAAGUUUUCGGACGCAUCGGGAGGGGCCUGCGGGCUAUCAGCUAGUUGGUGAGGUAAUGGCUCACCAAGGCGCAGACGGCUAGGGGGCGUGAGAGCGUGACCCCCCACAAGGGAACUGAGAGACGGUCCCUACUCCUACGGGAGGCAGCAGUGAGGAAUAUUGAGCAAUGGGCGCAAGCCUGACUCAGCAACGCCGCGUGGACGAUGACGGCCUUCGGGUUGUAAAGUCCUUUUCUGAGGGACGAUGAUGACGGUACCUCAGGAACAAGUCCCGGCUAACUACGUGCCAGCAGCCGCGGUAAAACGUAGGGGGCGAGCGUUAUCCGGAUUUACUGGGCGUAAAGCGCAUGUAGGCGGUGGGAUAAGUCAGCCGUGAAAGCUCCCGGCUUAACUGGGAGAGGUCGGUUGAAACUAUCCGACUGGAGGUUGGAAGAGGAGAGUGGAAUUCCCGGUGUAGUGGUGGAAUGCGUAGAUAUCGGGAGGAACACCAGUGGCGAAAGCGGCUCUCUGGACCAAUUCUGACGCUGAGAUGCGAAAGCGUGGGGAGCAAACGGGAUUAGAUACCCCGGUAGUCCACGCUGUAAACGAUGGAGACUAGGUGUCGGCGGUCAUUUACCCCGUCGGUGCCGCAGCUAACGCGUUAAGUCUCCCGCCUGGGGACUACGGCCGCAAGGUUAAAACUCAAA
rnacentral:rRNA from 1 species